AGUGAACGCUGGCGGCGUGCUUAACACAUGCAAGUCGAACGAGAACGGGAUAUAGCUUGCUAUAUUUGUCAGCUAAGUGGCGCACGGGUGAGUAAUGUAUAGAUAACCUGCCCUCUAGAAAGGAAUAACAGUUGGAAACGACUGCUAAUGCCAUAUAUGCCUUUAAUACAUAAGUAUGCAAGGGAAACGCUUUAGUGCUAGAGGAUGGGUCUGUAUGGUAUCAGCUUGUUGGUGAGGUAAUGGCUCACCAAGGCUAUGACGCCUAACUGGUUUGAGAGGAUGAUCAGUCACACUGGAACUGAGACACGGUCCAGACUCCUACGGGAGGCAGCAGUGGGGAAUAUUGCACAAUGGAUGAAAGUCUGAUGCAGCAACGCCGCGUGGAGGAUGACACAUUUCGGUGCGUAAACUCCUUUUAUAUAGGAAGAUAAUGACGGUACUAUAUGAAUAAGCACCGGCUAACUCCGUGCCAGCCGCCGCGGUAAAAC
rnacentral:rRNA from 1 species